rnacentral:rRNA from 1 species
UACGUAGGGGGCAAGCGUUGUCCGGAAUCAUUGGGCGUAAAGCGCGUGUAGGCGGCCCGGUAAGUCCGCUGUGAAAGUCGGGGGCUCAACCCUCGAAUGCCGGUGGAUACUGUCGGGCUAGAGUGCGGAAGAGGCGAGUGGAAUUCCUGGUGUAGCGGUGAAAUGCGCAGAUAUCAGGAGGAACACCGGUGGCGAAGGCGGUUCUCUGGGAAUAUCCUGACGCUGAGGAGCGAAAGUGUGGGGAGCGAACAGG